rnacentral:lncRNA from 1 species
UCCUUCUAAGGUUAUUGUUCUGUUUUUUGUGCAUGCUGAAAUGGAAUAUUUAGUGGCAAAUUUGGUGCUUCUAUCACUGUGUUCUUCAAGAAUUUCAUCAUACCUGCCUAUGCUAGGAAUAAUUCGUGCUUCAUCACCUGUUAAUCCCCACCGUUUUAUUUGUUUCAUCGAUCGGCUGUUGCGCCCUCUCAUGUUUGUCAGACUACUCUACGACGAGUGUACCGUAUUUCGCUAGCUGUGAAUCUAUCUGAUGGUUCUGGUUGUGCAACCUCGGUUUUCUCUUUUAUUGUUUCGCUAGCUGUGAAUAUAUUGGAUGGUUCUGGUUGUG